GGAGGGUACAGCUCAGUGGUAGAGUGCAUGCUUAGCAUGUGCGAGGUCCUGGGUUCAAUCCCCAGCACCUCCU
rnacentral:tRNA from 1 species